rnacentral:rRNA from 1 species
CAGUCGCCGCGGGAAUACGUAGGUCCCGAGCGUUGUCCGGAUUUAUUGGGCGUAGAGCGAGCGCAGGCGGUUAGAUAAGUCUGAAGUUAAAGGCUGUGGCUUAACCAUAGUACGCUUUGGAAACUGUUUAACUUGAGUGCAAGAGGGGAGAGUGGAAUUCCAUGUGUAGCGGUGAAAUGCGUAGAUAUAUGGAGGAACACCGGUGGCGAAAGCGGCUCUCUGGCUUGUAACUGACGCUGAGGCUCGAAAGCGUGGGGAGCAAACAGGAUUAGAUACCCGCGUAGUCCCUGUCUCUUAUACA